AAGCAAGGAGUUCCUAAACUUGGAAGAAAUUGGAAUAAAAAGCUUAAUUUGGAGAUUAAUUCGAAGGAAAUUCGGAUUUAUUGGAUUGCUUGCACAUGACUCACUGUUUGGGCCAUAUCUUGGGUUCUAGAAGUCAGAAUUGGGUGAUCUUACAGCCCACGCGAAGCUUAGAGAAUUUUCUUUAAUUCAGAGAUGGUCCAAUAUCCAAAAUCCAAUAGAAUCAGCCCAGAAAAAGGACAGAAUAAUCUGCUGCGAAUUUUCAUUGGA
rnacentral:lncRNA from 1 species